rnacentral:rRNA from 1 species
CCUACGGGUGGCAGCAGUCGAGAAUCAUUCACAAUGGGGGAAACCCUGAUGGUGCGACGCCGCGUGGGGGAAUGAAGGUCUUCGGAUUGUAAACCCCUGUCAUGUGGGCGCAAAUUAAAAAGAUAGUACCACAAGAGGAAGAGACGGCUAACUCUGUGCCAGCAGCCGCGGUAAUACAGAGGUCUCAAGCGUGGUUCGGAAUCACUGGGCGUAAAGCGUGCGUAGGCUGUUUCGUAAGUCGGGUGUGAAAGGCGCGGGCUCAACCCGCGGACGGCACAUGAUACUGCGAGACUAGAGUAAGGGAGGGGGAACCGGAAUUCUCGGUGUAGCAGUGAAAUGCGUAGAUAUCGAGAGGAACACUCGUGGCGAAGGCGGGUUCCUGGACAUUAACUGACGCUGAGGCACGAAGGCCAGGGGAGCGAAAGGGAUUAGAUACCCUUGUAGUC